rnacentral:lncRNA from 1 species
GACCAUGUUCAUUGUACUCUCAAAGGAGAAAAAAAACCUUGUAAAAAAACCAAAAACAACGACAAAAAGACAAUCUUAUUCUGAGCAUUCCAGUAGCUUUUUUUUGUGUAUGUACCUAGCUGUACUAUAAGUAGUUGGUUUGUAUGAGAUGGUUAAAAAAAUCAAAGAUGAAAAGACUUUUUUCCCUUUUUUUGGUCUAUGAAAUUGCUAUUUAUUUAUUUAUUUGGCCUGUUUGAUGCAUGUGUGAAACAAUGUCCAACAAUAAACUGGAAUUUUAUUUUGCUGAGUUGUUCUAUGUUUAAAAAAAAAAAAA